rnacentral:lncRNA from 1 species
UGGAUGGUGAGCGAUUAGAGCACUAACCGUGAUUUCUCUAACAUUACAUUAAGAAAAACAAAAUUUGUUCAGUGUAUGUUGAUUGAGCCAGAAGCAGUGGUGGAAUCAGGAAUGCAAUCUAUUUGGUGAAGCAGAGGAUUACAGGACAGGGGAGACACAUGUGCCCCAGGUGUGUAUAGACACUUUGUCAUGGAAACCCCCAGCAAGGGGCUCCCCCCCUUGGUUGGGCUCCAAGUUUGGAAUGCAGAAAAUAGGAGUAUUUUUCUGCUGAACCUUCAUGGCAGAGGUAAGCAAGCCCUCAGCCCAAGGGAAGGGAGAAAAUGAGAUUAGUCAAAACAUCAA